UUUGUAUUUUAGAUAUGUAACGCCAGUACAUGUAUUCCGUUACUCCCCAACACUGUUGGUGGCAAAGCUCCUAUAAACACAACAAGCAGAGGAGGAGCAGACAUAGGAAACAAAAUGACUUGUAAUCUGCUCGUUUUCUGUCUUUCACUACUCAGCUCACAUCUGUAUGAUAAAACUUGAUUAUUAUUGCUUAGUUUCAUUAAAAUCUUCCUAAUUUGUUUCUGCAGCAGCAGGAGAGUAAACACAUGUCAAAUCAUGCUGUAGUCAGAGUUUGUUAAGGUGUGAUAGUUCUGUGUAAAAGGAAGGAAGCAGAGAGAAGAAGAAGUUUUAAAGUCUUUGUUUUCUUCACUGUUCUCGGCGUCUCGUGUGCUUCUUCUUCUUUCUCUUCACACAAAGUCGUAGAAGUUUUCAGACGUGUCACAGCUGGAUGUGAGGAUGGGACCCACUUUCCUCUGUGAGCUGGGCCUAUUCUUUCUCUGUACGCUCCUCUGCAGCGGACACGCUCAAGAUGCUGUGCUAACUGUUAAACCCAGCUCGACCAUUUUCAUCGGAGAGUUUGUUUACUUCAAAUGUGACAUGAAGGAAGGAGAACACACUGACUGGGAAUACAAACUCAACAGAGCCUUUAUCCAGUACAACACAUACAAGAACUACAGAAAACAAAUUAAGUCUGUCUCUGAUACUGGUACAUACCAGUGCUUUGGUCGUAGGAAGAAAUCACAUUAUACAAAGAACAGUAAUACUGUCUCCCUAACUUUGUUGGCAGGUAAACCCAGGGCCACACUGACUCCAGGAUCAACUAUCAUACCAGUAGGGGGCAGUGUGACACUGACCUGCUCUGUGGGGAGCUCUGCUGACUGGAAAUAUGAGUGGUUCA